rnacentral:lncRNA from 1 species
AUGAAGAAACUGAGGCACAGAGAGGCCGAAUCCACCGUCGAAGGUCCCAUAGCUGGAGGAAGCGCCCCUCACAUCCAUUACUCAGACCAGCCAUGGGGCACAUCUACUUCCAGGGAGGCCCAGAAACAUGGUCUGGAGUCUGGACGGCCGCGUGCCCAGCAGGACACUAAGUGCUCUAUGCAGGCCAGCUGGAAACACCCCCAGGAUUUCUGUCCUGGAUCAGGAGAGAGGAAGUGGGAGGAGCCAGCAGGGCGCACAGGAGACCACUGAGACACACCUCUGCUCAGGCAGCAUGGUGCUGGACGCUGCAGGGGCUCAUUAAUGCGUGAGACACAGCUUCCCCUGGGGAGAGAGGAGACGAACACAGAUGCAGUAAACAGUGGGGCGGGGCACCGCCGUGUCUGCAGCCAGAGAGCCCUUUAAGAAUCUGACCCAAAAGAUGGCGAGUA